rnacentral:tRNA from 1 species
AGGCGCGUAGCUCAGGGGGAGAGCGCUACCUUGACACGGUAGAGGUCGUUGGUUCAAAUCCAAUCGCGCCUACCA